AGAGGCAGGCUGGGUCCGCCUGGCAGCCUACGGGAGGAGGCGGGAGCCGGGAAGGAGGGGAGCCUAGGCCCGGCGUGGGGAGGCCGGCAGGAAGGGCCUCGAGCCCAGUGCGGACCUUUCUUCAGCCUCUGUGCGACCGAGCCGCGCGCCAGGCUCCUGUGCGAGGAGGACGCGCUGACUCCCUCCGACCUGGGCUCCGAUGGAGCAGAAAUAGCGGGACCUGGACUUGUGGCGCGCCUGGUGCCACAUCUCGGGCUCUGCGAGCGUCCUGGCGCGGGAUCCUGCCGGUUUGCAUCCAAGAGAGGGGAGGACAGGGGCAAAAGGAUGCAGGGAGGCUGCUGAUUUCCACUGAAGAGCUAAUUUCCUGUGAGACAUUAACAGUGAUUUAAGAAAAAGAUUCCUGUAACUGGUAAUGUCUUACAAUAACAGAAUGCAGGAGAGCACAUAUCAAUGAAGAAAAGACAAAAUGUACUUAUCCAUGAAGCUGAGGUUAAGAAACCAGUGUCUUCAAGAGCCAGGGACAGCACUGGGUCUGUGCAGAGUUGAGAGAUGGUGAUGACAUGGUGGUUUCCAGCAUUCCUCACCCAGUCCAGGGACACUGUGGGUGUGCCCAGCUUAAGUCCAGUAACUGGAAAUACAAGCCCAAGUUCUGGAGAGUUUGAGCUGCAGAGAUAUAUAUGGGAACACUUUGAAUCUUGACUCAUUGGCCAUAACCAGCAGAGUGGAAAAUACAAGAAGAGAAAAAAACAUUGAACUGCGAUUUUAUAACAUCCUUUACUAGGCAGAGAGAAGAGGAAACACCAGGAAAGAAAACUGUAUUACGAUGUGAAAACUUAAUGUUGAGAAAUUCAGGCAUCUUGGGGUUAGUGAGGAGAAGUUUUAGGGGCUUAGAUUCUUCUAAACACAUGUACAGAAAUGCAUAUUUCAUCUGAUAUCAAAUGGCAUUUAUAGUGCUAAUCUUUACCUCAAGACUUCACAUCUUUUGGUGAUUGCAUCUUUUAGGUUUAUAGCAGCUAAGUUUGCAUGAAAACACCAGGGCUGUUUCAUUUCAGUCAAGAAUUAAUGUUCAUUGAUUGUGCUUCUGCAUUUCAUGUAACUAUUGUAGAAUUUGUUUUAGUUUUAUGAGGGAAUAAUUGUUCCAACUUCUAUAUAACUCAGGAAUUUACUCUCAAACAACACUGUCAAUUAGUUACUUAUCUCUCUGGAAAUGAUCUGGGAACAUGGAGAGGAAAGGGAGGAAGGGGCAAAAUCUGACCACUUAAAUCUAAGCAUAUUAGAUCAUUUUAUGCUAGAAAGUCCUGAAUGAUGUGACUUUCGUUCUUGUAAAACACCUCUUUCCAUAGAUUCAUGGCCCAAACAGUAUAUAAAGAGUGGGGAAGGAACUGCAUUUGCAAAUAGUUCAAAUCAUUGCUCCAUCUUAACUACGCAGUUCACAAAGUGUGAAGAAAUGUGAUCAUCUCAAAAAAGAUAAUGGGGAAAAAAUAUGUUUUGUUCUGUGACUUUAAAGUCUUGCAAUAUUUUACAUAAAUGAUAAUGGGUGCUUUAAUAAGAACUCUUGAUACUUUUGUUAUUGUAUUCAAUAUAUGCAUAUAAUACAACAGGAUGAUAUUGUUUUGGAUUUGGAAAUGUAUUCUUUCUUAUGCAAUCUUAUGCAGUCAUACUGCUUGAAUAUCAUUACCUGAAUUUAUCUUUCUUUUUUUUGUUGUUGUUUUACACUCUACUUAUUUGGUGCCUGUCAGUCUUUUGUCGUCAGUUUAUAUUCUACUAAACUCAAAAAGACAAUCUCAUACCUUUUGUAAUUGUAGGCAUUCUUUACUAGAUUUUUAAAUACACUUCAAAAAUUCAAGUACUUUGAUUUCAUGCCAUCAAGUAGCUGAAUCUAUCCCCCCGUCUCUUUUUAAAUUUAAGUGAGUAGUUCAAUUUCUGUCACUUUCUACUUUGUGAAUUCUAAAUCUUUUAAAACCAUCUUGCCAUUUUUCGUGCACUUACCCUUACAGAAAACUCUGUGAAACACUACUUAUCUCUACUUUUAUGUUUUUAACUCCUUUUUUAUAUUACUAUUCCCUCUGCUUUCUAAAUGCACAUAUUAAUUUGUUCUUUUUAUUCUCUGUAGCUCUUCUCAGUGUAUGAAUUCAGUUUCCCAUCAGUCUCCAUACAAUUAAAAAAAAGUUGAGUAUUCUGUUAUUUUAAUAAGAUAUCUAGUGCCCAUAUUCUAAUUCUGCCCCUUAUUUUUAAUAUAAUUUUAUUGUUGAUUUAAAAUGACAACAGUUUCAAUUCCCAGAAAGUGAAAGGAAACAAAGGAAUAAUAUUAUAGGCUUAAUUUUUAUCAGUGAACUUGUAGGUGAAGAAAAGAUUUGGGGAAGGAAAUGAACAUAUUAUAUUGCAAAAUAGUAAGGAACAAUCAGAUGUGUUUUCUAGUCUCUGGAAAAGCAUGUUUCAAGAAAUUCAAUGAAAAGUUCAUCAUGCUUGCUUAGAUUGUUGAGAAGCAAAAACACUGAUGAACAUUUGGAAGCAAUGAGAAUGUAAUUCUAAUCAUACUCUUUUAAUAAUGUUGCAAAACUCUCCAAACACUACUCUGUGUGGAUGUCUUUCAGAAUAUGAUGAAUACUAGUAGUCUUAUUCUGCCCUUUUCUCUCUAUCACAAUAUAUACAUUCUAUAUUGCAUACACAUAUUUUCCAAAUAUUACAUAUAAUUUCAUGUAAUUUAUAGACCUAUUAAGGCCCAACCAUUUUCUUGGAUAGGGGAUUCUUUAGAAGUCCAGCUUAAAUAAAGCCCGUAUAGAAAGUUUUUUUAAAAUUUAUACAUAAUCACCUAAAGUAACCUUAUCUACUGAACUCUUAGUACAUGCUACUGGAACCUUUUAUCAUGUUUCUUCCUGGCUUGCAUUACAACACUGUUGACAUAUCUCAGCCUUACUUCUAGGCUUCUUUGAGAGCAUGACUCAUGUUUGUAUUCCUCACUGAGGUUGAAUGAAUAAGAGAAACUACAGUAGUAGGAAAAAACAGUACAUGUACAUAUCAAUGAAUAUGAAAGGGUCAAAUGGAUCUAUUAUAGUAAGCACAAAAUCAACUGACACCAGCAAAGUAAACCCAAAAUUUUUAAUGGUAUUUUAAUAGAUCAAGAGGAGCAAGCAGAUUUUUGAGACAGUUGUCUCCUACUUUCUCUAUCACAGGGAGUAAUUUUAAAAGAAAAAUGGAGGGUAAGUUUCUUUAAGAGAAAAUUGUAGUUUAAAACAGGUCAUGGGAUAAUUAGAAAUAAUUUAAUUUCUUUAGAGGAUUUUAAUCUUUCAACUGCUUGCAAUUAGAUCCUAAGGCAAUAAAAGAAUAAGGAGAUUUGGAAAACCAUUGUCUGUAAUCUCUGAAGAAAAGUGGACAUUAGGGGAGUCAGUUGAAAAGCAAAGCUAUCACCAUUUUCUAAAGAGGAAAAAGGUGAACCUCACAAACUAUAGACCAAAAAAAUAGGACAUCGAGAGAAAGAAUAUGAAGCUAGCAUAGGUUCACAAAGAAUGAGUCAAAUCAAACAACAUGCAUUUUUUAUUUAUAAAGCAUGACUUGUUCAUUGUCAAUUCAUGUUAGCUUAAUCAUUAGGCAUUAAUGCCAUCACUGCAAUGCAUAUGUCAGCAAUAAAUAAUCAAAGACCAGGCUUCCAUCAUUCUGUUUAAUAUCUUCAAGUAAUGCUUAAGUUUGCAAAUGCUCUUUUAACACAUUCUCCAUAUGCAGCCUGCCCAGCACUGCACACAAUAGACCUGUUACUUCCCCCUCACGAGCACUCCUAAUAUUUCAUGUGCUCAUCCAAUUGACUUCUCCCACUGGUGCCUCAUAUUGAAUUUGUAGAAUCACACCUGCUCCUUUUUCAAAACUCUUCUGAGUUUUUUCUUAAAUAAUUCACUGACCCCAAAGUUGUCAGAUAUUUGAAGACUACUCGCACAAUUUUAAUAUUAUAAAUGUAUAAUGUAAAUGUAAUUAAGAUUUGUAUAAUGUACGAUGUACUUUGGUAAAUAAAAGUAUGCUGUGAAUAAAUACGUAUGAUACAAUUCAAAAUUUUACAUAAAUAUGUGAUAAAAUUUAGCUCAUAUUCUUUUUUUUUUUCUUUGAGACGGAGUCUCACUCUGUUGCACCCAGGCUAGAGUGCAGCAGCAUGAUCUCAGCUCACUGCAACCUCUACCUCCUGGGUUCAAACAAUUCUCCUGCCUCAGCCUCCUGAGUAGCUGGGAUUACAGGUGCCCGCCACCAUGCCCAGCUAAUUUUUUUCUAUUUUUGUUGUUGUUGUUGUUUUUAGUAGAGACGGGGUUUCACCAUGUUGGUCAGGCUGGUCUUGAACUCCUGACCUCAGAUAAUCCACCUGCCUCGGCCUCCCAAAGUUCUGGGAUUACAGACGUGAACCACGGUGCCCGGCCUAGUUCAUGUUCUUUAAGGACAAUUAUGAAUAUUUUUAUGCACUGUUAAUUUUCAUUAAGAUAUUGAUCAAUUAAUAGCUAUAUAUGUUCUAUAAAUUAAUCCUAUCUAGUUUCAAUCUUAAAUUGUUUGCAUAUACCAAUCUAGUUUAUUGUUUGCAUAUAUUUUAUAGUGUAGAGAUUAGGCAUUUUAAUAAAAUUUUAAAAUUUCCAGGACAUACUGUUAAUGACUAUGCUUCCUACUAUAGGCCAUAAUUAAUUUUUUUCUAUUGUCAACAAUAUUUUGGUAGGGAUGAUCAGGAAAUAAGGAAAUGUUUCCUUCAUUUGUUAACAAUAGGUGUUUGGGGAUUUUAAAAUGAAAAUUGAAGAAGUAAAAGACACCAUAUAUUUAGUUUGUUUGAUUUCGUGGCUUCAAGAGUUCAAUAAUUUAUUGAAAUAUUUUACAGACCAAAGAACAACAGAUAUAUUACGUUUAUAAGCCCCCACAUAUUUUAAAGGAUAAUGGUUUAUAUAUGAAAAUUCCCUGAACCUACACUUCAUCAGGAAAAGCUAAAUAAAAGAAGUUUACAUUUCCUAGGACUAAUGGAGAUUUAUUUCCCAGUCCUCUUCUCUGGAGACAAAUGUAGGUCUCUCUUGAAAAGCAGAAAGUUUUGCAUAUGAGGUAUGAUUUAGUGGGCUAGAAACAUCUUUUCCACCCUCCCCAAAAUGUUUCACUAUGUUUUAUCAUACUAUCUGAUAAUUUUGCACUAAAGUUUUCUUUCUGUGUUAAGAAAAUGCAAAUAUCUCUGAAUGGGUCUCUUUGCUUUAGUCAUACUCAUAUGGCUACUACUGAACAAAAUAUGUUCAUUACAGGAUGAAGGGAAUGUUGCCAGCCAGCAAAUCCCUAGAGUUUGCACUACACCAAACGUUGCUUAGCAAUUUCCACGAUUUUCUCAGUCUAAUUUGCAAGAAUCAAGGAGAUGUUUGUGUAUGCUACAUGAAGUUGUAAAAUUGGUAUUUAUUGUAUGUUUCUAUAUCGAAAGCUUUACAAACAAAGGAAAUGGAAAGUUAACAGGUGGAUAUGAUAGUGUGGCACUACUUUAGCUGGAUGGUAAGGGAGAGCUUCUCUUAGGAAGUGUUUUAGGCCAGGACUUGAAUAAUGAACAGUAUCUAGUUGUACAAAAAUCUGGAGGAAAGACUUUUCAGGCCCAGGAGAAAUGAAAAUUCUUUUCAUGCAUACAAGAAUGAAAGUGAAAAUUACCUACUCUAUGUCCUGAAGUGGGAAGUUGGCUUGCCAGAGAGUAGGUAAUUUUCACUUUGAUUCUUUCAUGCCUUCAGUUAUACUACUUCUUAGGUUAGUUCAUAAGGGUUUCCACAAUUUGGUUCCCACUUAAAAUUUAAAACUUCCCUAACCCAUUCCCACCAUAUAUUGUGCUAAUCCAUGCAUAUGUGACUUUGCGUAUGCUGUUUUCAUUGUUUAAUAUUCUUCUCAUGCAUUCGUUCUUUCCUGAUAACGAACUCAUCUUUGAAACUCCCCUUCAAGCAUCCUCUACUUUAGGAGGCCGCUUCUCACUGUCUCCUGCCUACCACCCAUUGAAUUGUUCAAUUUUUAAGCUGCCAUUGUCUUGUGCAGUUGACACAUUUCUUUGCAAUUACUGAUUUACAUGUCUGCUUUUAUCACUGGUGAGGUUCUUUAGGACAGAGACAUUAUUAAUUCAUCUCUGGGCACAUAUGUUCCAACAUAUUAGAAGUACUACAGAGUGCUAUUACUAUGUAGUAUGUAGUAUUAGUAGUAGUUACUCACAAAUCAUUUUUAAAUAAGUGAUUAUAAUAUCUUUUUGUUAUUAUGAUUUAACACAAGAUGGAAUUUAUUUUCAGAAGUUUCCAUGAUAUAUUUGUUCUAUUUAAAAUCCAAUAGCCAUUAGAAUAUUACCAUUAUUUAAUGUAAAACAAUAAAAUAUUAAAUAUGAUCGUUCAUAUUUAAUGCAAACCGAACUCAUGGAAAUAUUGUGUAAAGAUCAAGUAAUUUUUGACAUACAAUUUUAAACUCAACUUUUCAUAUAGCAUACCUUAUGAUAUAUUUUCAGCCUACUUUUAAAUAUGUUGGCAUUGAAAGCCAGUUACUAAUUCGCUGAAUUCAUGAUUUCUUUUUAAGUUAUAGAAGUGGAAUUAUGUUUGAGAUAUUCAUUGCAUUACAUUUACCAGAACUUGAGUUCUUAACAUGGAACCUGAGAGUUUCUCCAAUUCUUAAGUCCCUGGGAGAAAUAGAUUAGCUGGAUGAGGAACUGAGAGGAAAAAUGGUCAGAGAUGUAGCAAGAGUUGGGAAGAAGGAACAAUGAUUUGCUUUCAAGGAGAUUUUUUCAUUGGUCUGUUUUCAGUGACAAACCCACUGCGAUAAUACAUGUAAAGUGAAAACAUUCAGGAAGUUCCCUUAGAAACCUCUUUUCUGGCAGUUCCUAAUUCUACAACAUUGUAUAAGUGAAAUACCAUAGUUACUGUCAUAGUAAAUUGAGCCAAGAGAAACAAGGGAGCAGGAGAAGAAAAGAAUUAAAGAGAGUUUUGUCUUUCAGUCUUCACUCUGUUUCUUCUUGCUUUUACCAGUCAUUCAGGUUUAUAUAAUUUCUUUAGAGAGGCUUCUACUAUGCAGGUCUUCCUUAAAGUCAUUGGUAUUACCUGGCAUGAUAUGUGAGCCUUUAAUAUCAGUCCCUUUAUCUCUUUAUUUUUAAAGUUUAUAUCAGUACAGAGUCCUGGAUUCUUAAUUAAUUUAAUAGGUUAGACUUUAUGCUAAUAUUCUUCAUUUUGAUGCUCAAAUUUUCCAAAAUUUGGCCAGCAGGGUUCCUUAAAGCUGGGUACCUUGCCCUUUCAACAUGUCCCUCUGAUUCUUUAUUUUUAUUUACUUAUUUAUUUAUUUAUUUAUUUAUUUAUUUAUUUAUUUAUUUAGAGACUGAGUCUUGCUCUGUCUCCCAGCCUGGAGUGCAAUGGCACAAUCUUGGCUCACUGCAACCUCUAUCUCCCAGGUUCAAGCAAUUCUCCUCCCUCAGCCUCCCGAGCAACUGGGACUACAGGCAUGUGCAACCAUGCCUGGCUAAUUUUUUUUGUAUUUUUAGUAGAGACAGGCUUUCACCAUGUUGGUCAGGCUGGCCUCGAUCUCCUGACCUCAAAUGAUCCAUCGCCUCGGCCUCCCAAAGUGCUGGGAUUACAGGCGUGAGCUGCCACACCCAGCCGUCCCUCUCAUUCUUUAAGUACUUCCAUGUUUUCUAAGGUACAAGAUGUUCCAUAUUAUUUUGUUAUUUGUCUUCCCCAGCUCUGAAAUCUGCCUUUCCUUCAAGGAGCCUUGGUUCUUUCUAGUGACAAAUUAUAUUUAGAAAGAAGAUCUGGGUAUUUGACUUGUAUAUUGCUAUUAAUUGGCCAUUGUUUCUAGUCUCUUUCAGUAGACAGAGCUAAGAAAUGUAAAAGGAAAUAUUUGAAUGUAUGUAUAUGUGAUAUAUUAAGUACAUUUAAACAUAUUAAAUUCAUGAGUUCAUACUAAUACUUUCAAUAAGCCACAAUUCCCUUUUCAUGUUUUCGAAGGAAAAAUAUCCAUUGUCUAUAUACAGUGGACAUAGAUAGUAAUAAUACUGAUCUUGAAAAGAGCAGUCUUAAAUAGAUCCCAUUAAUAGUUAAAGAUAACAUAUCUUAGAAUUCUAGAUAUUAGAGAGAUUAUCUAGAGCUGUAAUCUAGAUAUUUUAUAGAUCUUUGCUGUGCUGUUUUGAAUUUGUGUUGGAGUAGAACAAUCAGAUGACAAAAGCUCAUCCCACAUGGAAAAAUCAAAGCAUUCAUUACAGAGAGAAUUUUGAAAUAAAUGCAUAUAUAAAAAAUAUAUAUGCAUAUAUAAUGCAUAUGUAUAUGCAUAUAAAAUAUAUAUAUAUAAAAUGAGGGUUAUAAACAAUGAAGGAAAUAGUGAUACUAUCUAUGUGGGAACAAUACUAGUAUCCUCCCUUUGGAUGAAUACAGUAGCUACAGAUGCAAUUCUGGGGACUCUGUUUAGCAAUAGCUUAACUAUUGCUUGGCUACAAGCAUGGAUAACUUGUUCAAAGAUAAUGAGGAGUUGUAAAUAUUUAAAUAAACAGGAUUUGCAACAUAAAAA
rnacentral:lncRNA from 1 species